rnacentral:lncRNA from 1 species
CCCAACUCCCACAACAUAUUCAUCUUAUUUGCAUCCUUACUACUAUUUUUUAUAUAGAUUUUAUCAACAAUAACGGAUAACCGAGAGAAUUAAUCCAAACUACAAAAUUUUAGAUUCACGACAUCAAAGUACUUCGGAUAACCAACAACAGAUAACACAUUCAACUCCAAAUUCACAUUAUUGAUAAGAUCAAAAAGCAAGCCAAAAGAGAUUAAAGAAAUAGAGCAAAAGUUGGACCUUUUAUUGAAUUCGAAGGUGUAACUCAAAAGACAAAAUAGAAGAUAACCACAAUCAAAACAGUAGACAGGGAUUCGGCGAUCUCAACGGAACCGCAAAUCAACAUCGAAUAAUCAAAACCAACACGACCUCAGUCACACUCCAUCAGAUUCUAUGGUUGCAAAACUGAAAAUCAAAAGAAGAAGCUCGCUAAACCAAGUUAUCCGAACUUGUGCUUAUGACUCUGUGUAUGUUUCUAGCGUGGUCACCGUUUUCUGUAACUCGCCAGCGAAGUAGUAGCGGAACGUGAGGGAUCGGUCAGUUGGGUUCUGCCGACGUUUAUGAUUUUCAACAGCAGCCGACGCUGGCUGGAAACAGAGAAAAUCGACGCCGACGGGUUGAAGAAGAAGAAGCUGGUAAGGGUCGCUGGUUUCUACCGAGUUUUAGGUUGAAUAUGGAGGGUCAUUUUGAGUGAAGUUCAGGUGGUCUAAUAGCUGGUCGACCGUGGAUUUUAGAGGGAGUUGGAUGGCUGGUUCGUGGGAGGUCGCGGUGUAAUUAGGAUGGUCGUGAGUGAGCAGAUGGCGACUGUUGUUAUGAAGAAGAAGCGUGGUGGCAUCGGCUUAGGGUGGCCUGGCGGCGGCUACCUAGAGAGAAGCUAAGUUUUUUGCAAUUUUUCUCCAUUGUUAUCUAAGGUUGAAGAAGAAGAUGAAGUAGCUAGGGUUGUUCUUUUGUCUUCUCUAAGGAAAAAGGUUGCUGAUCGGGUUCAUGUUAAUAGAAAAGGGGGAGUUGGGCUAGGUCGAUUGGGGUAAGAUAACGGGCUAAGAAGAUUGGGCUUCAAAAUUGGCAAGAUUUGCACUUAAAAUAAGCUAAGAAAAGGUUUAAAAAUUCAAUUUAAAUACCUAUAAAAAUAUAAAACUCUUAAUUGAUUUUGAUAAGC